AUAUUCCUACGGGACGCAGCAGUGAGGAAUAUUGGUCAAUGGGAGGAAUCCUGAACCAGCCAUGCCGCGUGCAGGACGACGGCUCUACGAGUUGUAAACUGCUUUUGUACCGGGGUAAAAUGCCUUACGAGUAGGGUUUUGAAAGUACGGUACGAAUAAGCAUCGGCUAACUCCGUGCCAGCAGCCGCGGUAAUACGGAGGAUCCGAGCGUUAUCCGGAUUCAUUGGGUUUAAAGGGUGCGUAGGCUGUUUUAUAAGUUAGCGGUGAAAUACCGAUGCUCAACAUCG
rnacentral:rRNA from 1 species